rnacentral:rRNA from 1 species
ACUGGCGGACGGGUGAGUAACACGUGAGGAACCUGCCCCAAAGACAGGGAUAAGCGAGGGAAACUUCGUCUAAUACCUGAUGCCUUCAUCGCAACUCAUGUUGUGUUGAAGAAAUGAUUUAUCGCUUUGGGAGGGCCUCGCGGCCUAUCAGCUUGUUGGUGGGGUAACGGCCUACCAAGGCGUCGACGGGUAGCUGGUCUGAGAGGAUGAUCAGCCACACUGGGACUGAGAUACGGCCCAGACUCCUACGGGAGGCAGCAGUUAGGAAUCUUGCGCAAUGGGCGCAAGCCUGAUCCAGCAAUGCCGCGUGAGUGAAGAAGGCCUUCGGGUUGUAAAGCUCUUUUGUCAGGGAAGAAACGGGAGUGGCUAAUAUCCAUUCCUAAUGACGGUACCUGAAGAAUAAGCACCGGCUAACUACGUGCCAGCAGCCGCGGUAAUACG